CUACCAUGCAGUCGAGCGGAUGAAGAGAGCUUGCUCUCUGAUUCAGCGGCGGACGGGUGAGUAAUGCCUAGGAAUCUGCCUGGUAGUGGGGGACAACGUCUCGAAAGGGACGCUAAUACCGCAUACGUCCUACGGGAGAAAGCAGGGGACCUUCGGGCCUUGCGCUAUCAGAUGAGCCUAGGUCGGAUUAGCUAGUUGGUGAGGUAAUGGCUCACCAAGGCGACGAUCCGUAACUGGUCUGAGAGGAUGAUCAGUCACACUGGAACUGAGACACGGUCCAGACUCCUACGGGAGGCAGCAGUGGGGAAUAUUGGACAAUGGGCGAAAGCCUGAUCCAGCCAUGCCGCGUGUGUGAAGAAGGUCUUCGGAUUGUAAAGCACUUUAAGUUGGGAGGAAGGGUUGUAGAUUAAUACUCUGCAAUUUUGACGUUACCGACAGAAUAAGCACCGGCUAACUCUGUGCCAGCAGCCGCGGUAAUACAGAGGGUGCAAGCGUUAAUCGGAAUUACUGGGCGUAAAGCGCGCGUAGGUGGUUUGUUAAGUUGGAUGUGAAAGCCCCGGGCUCAACCUGGGAACUGCAUUCAAAACUGACAAGCUAGAGUAUGGUAGAGGGUGGUGGAAUUUCCUGUGUAGCGGUGAAAUGCGUAGAUAUAGGAAGGAACACCAGUGGCGAAGGCGACCACCUGGACUGAUACUGACACUGAGGUGCGAAAGCGUGGGGAGCAAACAGGAUUAGAUACCCUGGUAGUCCACGCCGUAAACGAUGUCAACUAGCCGUUGGGAGCCUUGAGCUCUUAGUGGCGCAGCUAACGCAUUAAGUUGACCGCCUGGGGAGUACGGCCGCAAGGUUAAAACUCAAAUGAAUUGACGGGGGCCCGCACAAGCGGUGGAGCAUGUGGUUUAAUUC
rnacentral:rRNA from 1 species